GAUGAACGCUGGCGGCGUGCCUAAUACAUGCAAGUCGAGCGAACGGACGAGAAGCUUGCUUCUCUGAUGUUAGCGGCGGACGGGUGAGUAACACGUGGAUAACCUACCUAUAAGACUGGGAUAACUUCGGGAAACCGGAGCUAAUACCGGAUAAUAUUUUGAACCGCAUGGUUCAAAAGUGAAGGACGGUCUUGCUGUCACUUAUAGAUGGAUCCGCGCUGCAUUAGCUAGUUGGUAAGGUAACGGCUUACCAAGGCAACGAUGCAUAGCCGACCUGAGAGGGUGAUCGGCCACACUGGAACUGAGACACGGUCCAGACUCCUACGGGAGGCAGCAGUAGGGAACCUUCCGCAAUGGGCGAAAGCCUGACGGAGCAACGCCGCGUGAGUGAUGAAGGUCUUCGGAUCGUAAAACUCUGUUAUUAGGGAAGAACAUAUGUGUAAGUAACUGUGCACAUCUUGACGGUACCUAAUCAGAAAGCCACGGCUAACUACGUG
rnacentral:rRNA from 1 species